AUUCUGUUCGCCAGGCCUAGGGAGAGAGCACUGGCCCUACUCUGGGCAGGAAGUCAACAGGGGAGUGGAGAGUAAUGCUAAGAAAACAUCCCCCGUCUUUCAGGAGGGUGAACUGCUUUCCCCUGAAAUCGCCACAUCCUCAGUUUCUCAAAAUAAGGGAAAGGAGUCCGCUUGAGCUACUGACAAGAUGAAAGAACUGUUAAGGGGCCUAACGAGAGAAAGAGAAAAGGACUAGGAGGAGAAAAGUGUCUUUCGUGUUAAGGAAGACAGGACGAGGCACACAAGGACCGGCCACGAGCUUGCUAGGAGUUAAUGUAAGCAAUCAGUGAGUGCGUAGUUCGCUACCCAGCAAGAACCAAAUGCUGCUGCUGCUGCUACUGCUGCUGAAGUCGAACUUUAAGAACUCAGUAACCUAAAGAGGAGUUUGAAGAGGUAUCAUGAAACGCCGUCCUGCGGAAACAUCCACCAUCCGGACCACUGAGGGACCCCAGAACCCAACCUCCAACUGAGUGAACACGGGGAAUGCUCAGAUAGAGAGGCAAGGACCUUGGUCUGCUCCCUCCAUGUAAGAGCUGAUCUGGCUUCCCUAUGGUCACUGAAGGAGUUCCAUCUACCUGUUGGGCCACCUCAGGCUUGGGCCCGAGUUCUAGUAGGCGCCGAGCAAAGGUGGCAGCUGUCUUGAAGUUCUUGAGCUUGAAGAACAGAUUGAGGGCUGUACGCAGCACCAGGAUCAUGUGCACAGGCUGCAGGUUUGAGUGGGUGAAAUAGGCUGCCAUCUGGUGGACAGAAAAAGGAACACAUGCCAGGUUGAUGCUACACCUGGUAGAAGUCAUUUCUAAGCUGCUACACAUGCAUAAAAAACACAACACAAAAUAGGAUGAUGGGCUAUAAAGCUGAGAGGUCUUCUACCUCCUAGGUAUGGAGGACUGGUGAGAUGAGGAAGUAGGAUGAAGAAAUGUAUCCUCCCCUCAUAGAAAUGAAGGGCCUAAAUUUCUCUUCAUCCCCACUCAGAUCUGGGUUUGAAAUUAAAGAAUUCAAACCUAGUGAAGGGUGAAGGGAAGGACGUCUCUGUUGUGCUCAGGGUCCUAUAGAUCUUACCUCACAGAUGCGCUUCUGCUGUUCUAGAGUCUCUUUGGGCAGCUUCUUCCUUUCUGUCUCCACGGACAAACCCACAAUGUACUCACGGCAAAUGGUGAUGAGCUGCUGGGCCUGUAGAGGGGGCAGAAGGUCAGGAUACAGAGACAAGAAUGUGGAAGUGCCCAGAACUGGGACAGCGGCUAGACCCUCCUACCUCUGCAAUCUCUUGUUUAUUGUCCACAACAAGAAGUGGCACACUGAGAAGGAUGGAACGGAAUUUUUCCACAGCCUCCUCAAAUUUGCCAACUGUGGUGAGCUGGUAGCACAGCUGCAACCGUUGGAUGAGGUCAUUAAGCUUCAGGCCCACAGCUGGUACACCAUUCUUCAGCCCUGCAUCCUUCCUGGAAAGGGAAAAGUAGGAAGAAGACAGGAUAGUCAGUAGGCAACUAGGACCCAAUUUCCUUUUCUGGCAAACAUCCUCAUAGCUACCCUCCUGUCUCCUGUUAAAGUAGCUGGGGAAGAGGAUGACAGCAGGUGUAAACCAACCCCAUAGAGUAACAAACCAAAGAUCUUUUUCUACUGGGAAACCCUAGCUCUGAGAGAAUUCUGACUAUGUCACUGAGGCUACCAUCUGAAAUAUCGACCACAACUUGGAACAGAUGAAAGCAAAGAGAAAAGGGCCUUACCAGUUGCGAUUAGGAUAGCCAUACAUGGAGGGUAGGCAGGGCAGAGCCUGAUAGGUUGUGCGGCCUCGGGCGUAUGUCUGUAGGAACAGUUGCUUGUAGGGGCCAAACUGGAUUACCCCUACUUGGUCAUGAAGGAGCUGGAACAGAAGGAAAGAAACAAGGAUUUUGGCCCUGCUGCAUAAAAAGCUACUUUUCCUUGGGCAAGGUAAUUAAUUUCUCUGUUCACGUUUCCUCAUCAGUAAAAUACACUUAAUUGUAAGACCUACCUCAUUUAAUGAUACCUAUUAAAGUAUUUAGGAUAGUGCCUGGCACACAGUGAACAUUAAAUAAACGUUAGCAGUUA